AACCAGCCACAACAAUGUAGUGGAGUUAAACUACACUCAGUGCACAUAGAAUUGUGUAGUAACACACAGAACCCAGACAAAUCCUCCUUACACUGUAAAUCAGUUUAGAUGUUUUACAUAUUCAAUACAAUGUUGACUCUAAGAAAACACACUGAAUUGUUAGGAAAUCUUGAUCUUUGCAUGCACAGUAAAGACCAGAAUUCAUUACCUGCUCAUCAGGCAACAUUACCAAGGAGAAACAGUGCAAGACCUCAGAGACCAAUCAUAGUUCAUGCUUUGCAUGAUGUAGAGGAACUCAGGAAGAAAACCUUUAAGGAAAACCCACAAGAUGUUCCUUCCCCUGCCAAUCAGUAACAUAGCCAAAUGCACUCUGGUCACUGUGUGUUCUUCCUAUGAGCCUUCCAAAGUCUGAAGAAACUUGGAAUUAAACAUUUCAAGGGCUGGUGAGAUGGCUCAGUGGGUAAGAGCACCCGACUGCUCUUCUGAAGAUCCAGAGUUCAAAUCACAGCAACCACAUGAUGGCUCACAACCAUCUGUAACGAGAUCUGAUGCCCUCUUCUGGUGUGUCUGAAGACAGCUACAGUGUACUUACAUGUAAUAAAUAAAUAAAUCUUUUUAAAAAAACAUUUCAAAAACAAAUAUUUACAUAACAGGGAUAUUUCUGGAAUGGCUUCAAUGCAUCAGCAGCAGAUCCCAUGUUCUGAUGCUCUUUGGAUGUGGAUGAAGGUCUAGAAAGGCUGCCAUGUUAAAGAAACUCAUCACUACUCUAUCCAAUAUGUGUUUGGGUUUAAAGAAACACUAGUGUUUAAAUAAAAUAAACACUACCUGAAGCUAGAAGGAAGCACCUUGGAACCUUCUCAUACACCUCCUACCACAAUGGGGUUGGUAGUCUCAGACCAAGGAUCAAUGAAUUUGUUAGAGCAUCUCCUGGAAUCCUGUCUGGCUUGAGAAGGCCUUUACUGUGCUUUAAGCUCUAGUCCUUCUUGGUCAUUUUGUUGCCUCUUAUUGUCUUGAGUGAAACAGGCAGCUUUUUAAUUAUGCCUAAGCUUACUCCAUUAUCCCUUCAGUAGUGGGCUUCCAAGAGCUAACAGAAGUGGAGGCAUGACUGUACUCGCUGGGUUUACUCCUCAAUAUUGCCAUCAUCUUAGCAAUUUCCCAAAGAUUAGACAGUUAUUUUCUAGCUCAGGGUGCCACAUCCAUGGAUUACUGCUUGAAAAACAUGGGCAUGAUAUACACAACUAUAAUCUCACCCUUCAAGAGGUGGAGGUAAGAGGAUUUUUAAUUCAAGACACUCUGGAAUACAUGUGAGAUUCUACCUUACUACAUCACUGUCCUCAUGGGGAAGAAAAAAGAAAUGGCAAGGAAAAGGAGAUGUAGAAGAAUAUAGAUGAGGAAAAGUUGAAGGGGAGAAGAGGAGAUGGAAGAGACUAUUUAAAUUAUGUUAUGUCUGUUAUCAAACAUGCAGAGAACUAUCUGCUUGUCAAUUUCUCUCCAGUGUGGUAUCUUUUAUGCUGUUUGUCUUAAUUUGGGUUUUAUUGCUGUGAAAAGACACCAUGACCAAGACAACUUUUAUAAAGAACAUUUAAUUGAGAGGAGUGUAUAGAUGCAGAGGUUCAGUCUGUUACCAUCAAGGCUAAAAAAAUAUCAGUGUCGGGGCUGGUGAGAUGGCUCAGUGGGUAAGAGCACCCGACUACUCUUCCGAAGGUCCAGAGUUCAAAUCCCAGCAACCACAUGGUGGCUCACAACCAUCUGUAACGAGAUCUG
rnacentral:lncRNA from 1 species